GAGUUAGGAAAUGUAAGUUUGAGAAUACCAAAUAUACUCGACAAAGGCUCCAAAGGAAGCCACGGCAAACUCUGUGCCAGCAGCCCCGGUAAUACAGAGGUGGCGAGCGUUGUUCGGAAUUAUUGGGCGUAAAGAGCACGUAGGUGGAUUAGUAAGUCAGAUGUGAAAGCCUUCUGUUCAACGGAAGAAUUGCAUCAGAAACUACAAACCUUGAGUAUAGGAGGGGAGAGUGGAAC
rnacentral:rRNA from 1 species